rnacentral:rRNA from 1 species
GCUUGUCUCAAAGAUUAAGCCAUGCAUGUCUUAGUGUAAAUAACUCUUAUGAAACUGCGAAUGGCUCAUUAAAUCAGUUAUCGUUUAUUUGAUGGUCCCUUACUACAUGGAUAACCGUGGUAAUUCUAGAGCUAAUACAUGCUGGUGUGCCUGACUUUUCGGAAGGGCGGUAUUUAUUAGAUAACGAACCAAUAUUCCUCUGGUCUAUUGUGGUGAAUCAUAAUAACUGAUCGAAUCGCAAAGCCUUUGGCUGCGAUAUGUCAUUCAAGUUUCUGCCCCAUCAGCUUUCGAUGGUAGUGUAUUGGACUACCAUGGCUUUUACGGGUAACGGAGAAUUAGGGUUCGAUUCCGGAGAGGGAGCCUGAGAAACGGCUACCACAUCUAAGGAAGGCAGCAGG